rnacentral:rRNA from 1 species
GAGUUUGAUCCUGGCUCAGAUUGAACGCUGGCGGCAUACCUUACACAUGCAAGUCGAACGGCAGCACGGGAGCUUGCUCCUGGUGGCGAGUGGCGAACGGGUGAGUAAUGCAUCGGAACGUAUCCUGGAGUGGGAGAUAACGUAGCGAAAGUUACGCUAAUACCGCAUAUUCUGUGAGCAGGAAAGCGGGGGACCUUCGGGCCUCGCGCUCUUGGAGCGGCCGAUGUCGGAUUAGCUAGUUGGUGAGGUAAAGGCUCACCAAGGCGACGAUCCGUAGCAGGUCUGAGAGGAUGAUCUGCCACACUGGAACUGAGACACGGUCCAGACUCCUACGGGAGGCAGCAGUGGGGAAUUUUGGACAAUGGGGGCAACCCUGAUCCAGCCAUGCCGCGUGAGUGAAGAAGGCC